AACUUACAGCAAUGUAUCUCUUGGCUCUCGCCUCGAUGAAGAACCCAGCGACAUGCGAUAAGUAAUGUGAAUUGCAGAAUUCAGCGAAUCAUCGAAUCUUUGAACGCAUCUUUCGCUCCUUGAUAUUCUGAGGAGCAUGCCUGACUGAGUGUCAUUAAAUUCUCAACUACACUGACUUGGUGUGGCUUGGAUUUGGGGGUUGUGGGCUUUUUGUAGUCUGCUCCCCUGAAAUUAAUUAGCGGUACCUUGGUGGAACUGUCUACAGGUGUGAUAAUUAUCUACAUCCUAGACAUCUGCUGGAAUGCUGCUUUCUAGACCUUACUUGUAUUGACAAUCUUGACCUCAAAUCAGGUAGGACUACCCGCUGAACUUAAGCAUAUCAAUAAGCGGAGGCU
rnacentral:misc_RNA from 1 species